rnacentral:rRNA from 1 species
GAUGAACGCUGGCGGCGUGCCUAAUACAUGCAAGUCGAGCGAACGGACGAGAAGCUUGCUUCUCUGAUGUUAGCGGCGGACGGGUGAGUAACACGUGGAUAACCUACCUAUAAGACUGGGAUAACUUCGGGAAACCGGAGCUAAUACCGGAUAAUAUUUUGAACCGCAUGGUUCAAAAGUGAAAGACGGUCUUGCUGUCACUUAUAGGUGGAUCCGCGCUGCAUUAGCUAGUUGGUAAGGUAACGGCUUACCAAGGCAACGAUGCAUGGCCGACCUGAGAGGGUGAUCGGCCACACUGGAACUGAGACACGGUCCCGACUCCUACGGGAGGCAGCAGUAGGGAAUCUUACGCAAUGGGCGAAAGCCUGACGGAGCAACGCCGCGUGAGUGAUGAAGGUCUUCGGAUCGUAAAACUCUGUUAUUAGGGGAGAAGAUAUGUGUAAGUAACUGUGCACAUCUUGACGGUACCUAAUCAGAAAGCCACGGCUAACUACGUG